GAUGAACGCUGGCGGCGUGCCUAAUACAUGCAAGUCGAGCGAACAGACGAGGAGCUUGCUCCUCUGACGUUAGCGGCGGACGGGUGAGUAACACGUGGAUAACCUACCUAUAAGACUGGGAUAACUUCGGGAAACCGGAGCUAAUACCGGAUAAUAUAUUGAACCGCAUGGUUCAAUAGUGAAAGACGGUUUUGCUGUCACUUAUAGGUGGAUCCGCGCCGCAUUAGCUAGUUGGUAAGGUAACGGCUUACCAAGGCAACGAUGCGUAGCCGACCUGAGAGGAUGAUCGGCCACACUGGAACUGAGACACGGUCCAGACUCCUACGGGAGGCAGCAGUAGGGAAUCUUCCGCAAUGGGCGAAAGCCUGACGGAGCAACGCCGCGUGAGUGAUGAAGGUCUUCGGAUCGUAAAACUCUGUUAUUAGGGAAGAACAAAUGUGUAAGUAACUAUGCACGUCUUGACGGUACCUAAUCAGAAAGCCACGGCUAACUACGUG
rnacentral:rRNA from 1 species